AGGGCACCACCAGGAGUGGAGCCUGCGGCUUAAUUUGACUCAACACGGGAAAACUCACCCGGCCCGGACACUGGAAGGAUUGACAGAUUGGGAGCUCUUUCUUGAUUCAGUGGGUGGUGGUGCAUGGCCGUUCUUAGUUGGUGGAGUGAUUUGUCUGGUUAAUUCCGAUAACGAACGAGACUCUAGCCUAUUAAAUAGAUCGUUGGCUUACAAACGCCGGCGAGACUUCUUAGAGGGACAGGCGGCGAUUCAGCCGCACGAAACAGAGCAAUAACAGGUCUGUGAUGCCCUUAGAUGUCCGGGGCCGCACGCGCGCUACACUGAAGUGAUCAGCGUGCAUUUUGAAACCUACUCUGUCAAGAGUGGGGAACCCAAUGAACCUUCUUCGUGAUUGGGAUAGGGGAUUGUAAUUAUUCCCCUUGAACGAGGAAUUCCCAGUAAGCGCGAAUCAUAAGUUUGCGCUGAUUACGUCCCUGCCCUUUGUACACACCGCCCGUCGCUACUACCGAUUGAAUGUUU
rnacentral:rRNA from 1 species